GGCCUGAUGUAGGGAGUGAGGAGCAGGACAGUGAGAGUGGGAAGGAGCCUGAUGCAGGGAGUGAGGAGCAGGCGUGAGGGUGGGAAGCAGCCUGAUGCAGGGAGUGAGGAGCAGGACGGUGAGGGUGGGAAGGAGCCUGAUGCAGGGAGUGAGGCGCAGGACGGUGAGGGUGGGAAGGGGCCUGAUGCAGGGAGUGAGGAGCAGGACGGUGAGGGUGGGAAGGAGCUUGAUGCAGGGAGUGAGGAGCAGGACGGUGAGGGUGGGAAGGAGCCUGAUGCAGGGAGUGAGGAGCAGGACGGU
rnacentral:lncRNA from 1 species